rnacentral:rRNA from 1 species
GAUGAACGCUGGCGGCGUGCCUAAUACAUGCAAGUCGAGCGAACAGAUGAGGAGCUUGCUCCUCUGACGUUAGCGGCGGACGGGUGAGUAACACGUGGAUAACCUACCUAUAAGACUGGGAUAACUUCGGGAAACCGGAGCUAAUACCGGAUAAUAUAUUGAACCGCAUGGUUCAAUAGUGAAAGACGGUUUUGCUGUCACUUAUAGCUGGAUCCGCGCCGCAUUAGCUAGUUGGUAAGGUAACGGCUUACCAAGGCAACGAUGCGUAGCCGACCUGAGAGGGUGAUCGGCCACACUGGAAGUGAGACACGGUCCAGACUACUGCGGGAGGCAGCAGUAGGGAAUCUUCCGCAAUGGGCGAAAGCCUGACGGAGCAACGCCGCGUGAGAGAUGAAGGUGUUCGGAUCGUAAAACUCUGUUAUUAGGGAAGAACAAAUGUGUAAGUAACUAUGCACGUCGUGACGGUACCUAAUCAGAAAGCCACGGCUAACUACGUG